rnacentral:lncRNA from 1 species
UCAGUUUAACUUGCAACACUCCCGGGGUACCUGCACUGGCUGCACAUCUCGUCAUUUGAUGUGUGCCUUCUUUAUUCUCGUUUGCUUAUGCAUUUUGAUUUGUAAUUCAGGAUAUGAACAUGCAGUGUUACUGGGGAUGAGUUGGUUAGUAUUUAGCAAGCCUGGAAAUACCAGCGAGUGGAGCCUGGCGUGGUGGCCUGAGCUUGGGAAGAAGGGGCAGGGCAGUCUAUAGGCCCAGGCCCAGGAGCAGGAUGCCCAGGGUCCCUGCAGGAAGAACCCUCUUCCCCAGGAAACCAAGGAAGGGUUAGGGAGGAGAAAGUUCCUCCUACUCUUGGAAGUCUGAGAUUUGGUGGCUGGGGGUGCUUGCCCAUUGGAAGGGCAGACCACCGGGUGAAAUGGAGGAAAGAAGCUCAUCUAAAACUUGCCCCCAGGUGUGCGAUGGGAGAAUUCUAUCCUGCAUGAUCAAAGUCCCUCCUGGGGAAGAGAAAAACACUGAAGACCAAGGGGCAGGAGUCGCUGACAUGAAGCGGGAUGUGGUCCCUUCACGUCAGUGACUGCGCCCCCUUCUGGGCCCUCUAUCCCCAGCCCCACACCUGGCAGUUAGGAAAUUAAAUCCGAACGGGAGGUCAAGACCUUCUGACACUGAUACAGACGCCUUAGCAAGUGGAGCGUUAAACUGCUCUUCUCCCGUAGCCAACAAUUCCCCUUUCUAACACCUCAGUCUAAAGUUCCUGAAUCAAGACCAUCCCAACAAGUACCUUCCUCCCAGUCCCUGGACUCUGAGACUC